rnacentral:rRNA from 3 species
UACCCUGAGCGGCGGAUCACUCGGCUCGUAGGUCGAUGAAAGACGCAGCAAACUGCGCGUCGCCAUGUGAACUGCAGGACACAUGAACA